UGUCUCUUUAAAUCUACUGAGGAAGAUAUUCCUUUGGCCCACAGGAUGCCAAAAUGACUUGAUGAUUUAUUUAUGCAGCGCUUGGCAGCCCAUAGUCCAGAUUGUGGCUGGAGCUGAAUUUUAUGAGCCUUCCCCUAGAAGUAACGAGAGCCCAGGGGACUGUAGUAAAAAAGACAAACACUGCCCCUUCUUUCCUGAAACAGACAUCUCAGAAGAGGGAGAUGGAUGAGAAACAGGAUGGCUAAUUUCUGGGUUAUUCUGGGUCAGAGUUCCACUGGAGCCAGGAGUCCUAAGCAGAGAGAAAAGGACCUGAGAUAACCAAAAAGAGAUUUCAAAGAAGAUGUGGAAGUGUACCCCAGGAGCUGGAAAGAGUGUAAAGUCAACUGAAGGCCCGUGGACUAGCAGAGGGGAAGCAAGUGUGGUGGCUGAUGUGCAUCAUCCUGGACUAGACUACAGAGCAUGCCGGGAGCAGAGGGCUUGCAUCAGGAGGCCAUGGGAAGCACAUGUUUGCUGCAGU